CUGCAUGGCUGUCGUCAGCUCGUGUCGUGAGGUGUUGGGUUAAGUCCCGCAACGAGCGCAACCCUUGUCAUUAGUUGCUACAUUCAGUUGGGCACUCUAAUGAGACUGCCGGUGACAAACCGGAGGAAGGUGGGGAUGACGUCAAGUCCUCAUGGCCCUUAUAGGUGGGGCUACACACGUCAUACAAUGGCUGGUACAAAGGGUUGCCAACCCGCGAGGGGGAGCUAAUCCCAUAAAACCAGUCGUAGUCCGGAUCGCAGUCUGCAACUCGACUGCGUGAAGUCGGAAUCGCUAGUAAUCGUGGAUCAGAAUGUCACGGUGAAUACGUUCCCGGGUCUUGUACACACCGCCCGUCACACCAUGGGAGCGGGUUCUGCCAGAAGUAGUUAGCUUAACCGCAAGG
rnacentral:rRNA from 1 species